AAGCAAAUAAAUAAAUUUAAAAAAAAAAAACAGCUAACAUUUAUUCAGGAAUACUACUUGCCAGACAUAGAGCUAACUGCCCUUAGAUAGAUCAUUUCUUUUAAUCCUCUCAACAACCUUAUGGGUUGGUCCCAUUCUACAGAUGAAGCCAGAGAGUUAGGUGACUUGUCCAGAUACACAUAGCCACUGAGUUGGGAGCCGGGAUUCAAAUCCUGGGAGGAGAAGAGAACUAUGGGCACUCUGCUCUAUCCUCAGGCUUCUGGGAUAGGAAUGGCAAGAGACGGGGGUGGGGAAAGGAUGGCAGAAACAGAUUUUUUUUUUUUAAUCAGUCAGCCCUGGGUUUUAUGGUCUUAUAUGAAUAACACACCUAUUCCAGACCCACUUCACACACCCCUGGGCCUACUCUGGAAAGGGUUGGGGAGCAAGGAUAACUUCCCUGCUGUGGGUGAUUCAUCAUGACCCUGGCUUAGUCACAGCAUGUCACCACAAGCCAGCAGAAGAAGCCAGCCCAGGGUGAAUUCUGGUCCUUUGGGAAAGAGACAUGCCUGCUCUUCAUUUCCCCAGGAUGACUGGGAAGAUGCUCCUGGAGUUGCCUGACGGAGAAGCAGAGACGAAAGGAGAAAAGAAAGGGAAGGCUUCCCUGUUCAAGAGAAAAUCACAUCAAAGUCCUCUACUCCCUCCCAUCUAACCAAAGAAAGGCAUUCCUGGGAAUUCCCUGUCGGUCCAGAGAAUGCAAGCCUGGAGCUGCCUGGAGCUGCUGCUGCCACUACAUGAGUGGAGAACCUGCCUGAGAAUGAAGCCACCACCCAGGAAGGCUGAGCCAAGAUGGUUCCAGACACAUUCCUGAUAGUGAGUGCCUGGAAGGAGCCCUACCCUGCAACUGUUAAGCUGCUAAUGCUAAUAAAUGUCCUUUUCUGUUUAA